CCCGCUGAACUUAAGCAUAUCAAUAAGCGGAGGAAAAGAAACCAACAGGGAUUGCCUCAGUAACGGCGAGUGAAGCGGCAACAGCUCAAAUUUGAAAUCUGGCUCUUUCAGGGUCCGAGUUGUAAUUUGUAGAAGAUGCUUUGGGUGUGGCUCCGGUCUAAGUUCCUUGGAACAGGACGUCAUAGAGGGUGAGAAUCCCGUACGUGACUGGGUGCCUUCGCUCGUGUAAAGCUCUUUCGACGAGUCGAGUUGUUUGGGAAUGCAGCUCAAAAUGGGUGGUAAAUUUCAUCUAAAGCUAAAUAUUGGCGAGAGACCGAUAGCGAACAAGUACCGUGAGGGAAAGAUGAAAAGCACUUUGGAAAGAGAGUUAAACAGUACGUGAAAUUGUUGAAAGGGAAACGUUUGAAGUCAGUCGCGUCGGCCGAGACUCAACCUUGCUUCUGCUCGGUGCACUUCUCGGUUGACGGGUCAGCAUCAAUUUUGACCGCCGGAUAAAGGUCGGGGGAAUGUGGCAUCCUUCGGGAUGUGUUAUAGACCUCGAUUCGGAUACGGCGAUUGGGAUUGAGGAACUCGGCGCUUUGCGUCCAGGAUGCUGGCAUAAUGGCUUUAAGCGACCCGUCUUGAAACACGG
rnacentral:rRNA from 1 species